GAGGCAUCCAGGCCACUGCGGAUGAGCUGCCCACGUGUGAGUCUGGACUGUGCACAUAGGUGUGAAUGGGGGUCAGUGACUUGUCCUCUGCUGAUGCCCUGGACUUGGAUGAAGUCACUGGGGGACCUUAGAGAGAAGAGAGGAAACAGGCCUGAGCACUUCCAAGGUCUAACGUCAGGGAGAGAAGAGAGAUCCCGUAAACGACGGAGAGAAGUAGGAAAGAACCGGGAGAAAGAAGUCCCAAGGAAGGGUGAGCCGGGAAGGAUGACCACUGGGCGUCCCCGCAGUCAGCGAGAGGGAGGGAGAGCCUCUCCCCGGGGAUGUCUGGGUGCUGGAGAUGCACCGAUUAGAAAGGACAGCAGAGGUUGUGGGGUCCAGGGAAGAUUGUGUUGUUUUGUUUUAAUGGGUAGAUGUGUGUGUUUGGGGAGAUGGGACUUUUAAAUGGGAGGAAACAGAAUAUGUCUCAGGACUGACAGAAAGCAUCCAGGAGACAGGAGACUCUGAGAAAAUAGAACCAAGGAAAGAAUGCUGUGCUUUUACUGAGGAACUAGGGAAGAUGAGCUCCGGUGCCCUGCAGGAAGAGGUGCUCCCACCAGGCAUGCGCGGUCAGAAUCCUGCCCUGGGACUUUCUACCCAGCAGGUGGCGAGGAGGAGCCCGGUGCAGUGAUGUGGAUGGACUGGGUCAGACACUGCGCAUGCUCAGUGGCGGUUGCAUCAAUGGUGGCGCAGCUCAUGAUGGCGCCGGGCUCUACUGGCUGUAACCUGUAGUUUGGGCGAGGGAAUAUUCUUUCCUUUACAACCUGCCAUCUUCCACGUGAUCUGAAUCUCCUCUGACUAAGAUGAGACAAACGGAGCACAUAGAAGCCACACAACCUUCCUAAAGUCAUGCAGCUGGAGGCCACACAGCCAGAUGGCUCCAGAGGCCACGUCCUUAAUCAUGAUGUUGCUAUUUGGCAGAAACGUUGCUGCAGAAAGUCAGACCACAGAUGGGGACUGGUGGAAACCAAACAUAUGACUACAUCAGUCUACAAAAGCAUCAUGGUAUUCCCACAUAAUUCAGAGGCACGCCAGACCAUUCAGAACCUAAAGACCAGAGCAAUCACACAAGAUAAUGGAAGAUAAUGACAAAACAAUAUAAUGACAAGACAACAGAAGAUAAUGACAAAAUAUUCUGAGCGUCAUUGAUUUAGUCGCCCUUUAUUUCAUAAACAUCUUAUAAUUUUCUUCCCAUCUUUGUGUAUUAUUUGGUGUGAUUCUGUGUUUUUUCUUCCUAAUCUUUUAUUAAUUUAUUUUAAGUGACAAGUAAAUAUUUUAUAUAUUUAUGGUA